rnacentral:rRNA from 1 species
UACACAUGCAAGUCGAGGGGCAGCAUUGGGAUAGCUUGCUAUUCAGAUGGCGACCGGCGCACGGGUGAGUAACGCGUAUCCAACCUUCCUGCCAGUAGGGAACAGCCCGGCGAAAGUCGGAUUAAUGCCCUAUGUUCUUCAAUGCGGACAUCUAAGUUGAAGGAAAGAUUCAUCGCUGGCAGUUGGGGAUGCGUCCGAUUAGCUUGCCGGCGGGGUAACGGCCCACCGGGGCGACGAUCGGUAGGGGUUCUGAGAGGAAGGUCCCCCACACUGGUACUGAGACACGGACCAGACUCCUACGGGAGGCAGCAGUGAGGAAUAUUGGUCAAUGGGCGUAAGCCUGAACCAGCCAAGUAGCGUGCCAGGAUGACGGCCCUACGGGUUGUAAACUGCUUUUAUGCGGGGAUAAAGUGCGGCACGUGUGCCGCUUUGCAGGUACCGCAUGAAUAAGGACCGGCUAAUUCCGUGCCAGCCGCGGC